rnacentral:rRNA from 1 species
GACGAACGCUGGCGGCGUGCUUAACACAUGCAAGUCGAACGGAAAGGCCCUGCUUUUGUGGGGUGCUCGAGUGGCGAACGGGAGAGUAACACGAGAGUAACCUGACCUUGACUUUGGGAUAACUUCAGGAAACUGAGGCUAAUCCCGGAUAGGAGCUCCUGCUGCUUGGUCGGGGUUGGACAGUUUCGGCGGUUGGGGCUGGACUCGCGGCUUAUCAGCUUGUUGGUGGGGUAGUGGCUUACCAAGGCUUUGACGGGUAGCCGGCCUGAGAGGGUGGCCGGCCACAUUGGGACUGAGAUACGGCCCAGACUCCUACGGGAGGCAGCAGUGGGGAAUAUUGCACAAUGGGCGGAAGCCUGAUGCAGCAGCGCCGCGUGCGGGAUGACGGCCUUCGGGUUGUAAACCGCUUUCGCCUGUGACGAAGCGGGAGUGACGGUAAUGGGAAAAGAAGCACCGGCUAACUACGUG